UGGGGAAUAUUGCGCAAUGGGGGAAACCCUGACGCAGCGACGCCGCGUGCGGGAUGAAGGCCUUCGGGUUGUAAACCGCUUUUGAUUGGGAGCAAGCUUUCGGGUGAGUGUACCUUUCGAAUAAGCGCCGGCUAACUACGUGCCAGCAGCCGCGGUAAUACGUAGGGCGCAAGCGUUAUCCGGAAUUAUUGGGCGUAAAGAGCUUGUAGGCGGUUCGUCGCGUCUGGUGUGAAAGCCCAUCGCUUAACGGUGGGUUUGCGCCGGGUACUGGCGGGCUAGAGUGCAGUAGGGGAGACUGGAAUUCUCGGUGUAACGGUGGAAUGUGUAGAUAUCGGGAAGAACACCAAUGGCGAAGGCAGGUCUCUGGGCUGUUACUGACGCUGAGAAGCGAAAGCGUGGGGAGCGAACAGG
rnacentral:rRNA from 1 species